rnacentral:misc_RNA from 1 species
CUGAGUGAGGGCCCACGCCCGACCUCCAACCCUCUGUGAACCAAACCUGUUGCUUCGGGGGCGACCCUGCCGACGACUUCGUCGCCGGGCGCCCCCGGAGGUCUCCUAAACACUGCAUCUUUGCGUCGGAGUUCAAACUAAUCAAACA